rnacentral:rRNA from 1 species
AUACGUAGGGAGCGAGCGUUGUCCGGAAUUACUGGGCGUAAAGGGUGCGUAGGCGGGACUGCAAGUCAGAUGUGAAAUGCCGGGGCUCAACCCCGGAGCUGCAUUUGAAACUGUGGUUCUUGAGUGAGGGAGAGGUAAGCGGAAUUCCUAGUGUAGCGGUGAAAUGCGUAGAUAUUAGGAGGAACAUCGGUGGCGAAGGCGGCUUACUGGGACUUUACGGACGCUGAGGCACGAAAGCGUGGGGAGCAAACAGGAUUAGAUACCCGGGUAGUCAACGCUGUAAACGAUGAUGACUGGGUGUGGGGGGACUGAACCCUUCCGUGCCGCAGUUAACACAAUAAGUCAUCCACCUGGGGAGUACGGCCGCAAGGUUGAAACUCAAAGGAAUUGACGGGG